CAGCAAGAACUGGAUCUUAAU
rnacentral:miRNA from 2 species